rnacentral:rRNA from 1 species
CUACCGGGAUGAUACUGC